rnacentral:rRNA from 1 species
CCUACGGGAGGCAGCAGUGGGGAAUAUUGCGCAAUGGGCGAAAGCCUGACGCAGCGACGCCGCGUGAGGGAUGAAGGUCUUCGGAUCGUACACCUCUGUCAGCAGGGAAGAACGGUCACUGUGCUAAUCAGCAGUGAAUUGACGGUACCUGCAAAGGAAGCACCGGCUAACUCCGUGCCAGCAGCCGCGGUAAGACGGAGGGUGCGAGCGUUAAUCGGAAUUACUGGGGGUAAAGCGCUCGUAGGGGGGAUGUCAAGUCAAGGGUGAAAUCCCCGCGCUCCACGUGGGAACUGCCUUUGAAACUGGGCAACUGGAGUGUGUGAGAGGAUAGUGGAAUUCCAGGUGUAGGAGUGAAAUCCGUAGAUAUCUGGAGGAACAUCAGUGGCGAAGGCGACUAUCUGGCACAUAACUGACGCUGAGGAGCGAAAGCGUGGGUAGCAAACAGGAUUAGAUACCCGGGUAGUC